rnacentral:rRNA from 1 species
UACUCGAGUGGCGAACGGGUGAGUAACACGUGGGUGAUCUGCCCUGCACUUCGGGAUAAGCUUGGGAAACUGGGUCUAAUACCGGAUAGGAGCCAUCUUUAGUGUGGUGGUUGGAAAGUUUUUUCGGUGUAGGAUGAGCUCGCGGCCUAUCAGCUUGUUGGUGGGGUAAUGGCCUACCAAGGCGGCGACGGGUAGCCGGCCUGAGAGGGUGUACGGCCACAUUGGGACUGAGAUACGGCCCAU